rnacentral:rRNA from 1 species
GUGUCAGCAGCCGCGGUAAUACGGAGGGUGUAAACGUUGUUCGGAAUCAUUGGGCGUAAAGCGCACGCAGGCUGCGUGUCAGGUCGGGUGUGAAAGCCCGGGGCUCAACCCCGGAAUUGCGCUCGAAACCGGCACGCUAGAAUCCAGCAGAGGAAGGUAGAAUUCCUGGUGUAGGGGUGAAAUCCGUAGAUAUCAGGGGGAAUACCAAGGGCGAAGGCAGCCUUCUGGGCUUGGAUUGACGCUGAGGUGCGAAAGCGCGGGUAGCAAACAGGAUUAGAUACCCUGGUAGUCCGCGCCGUAAACGAUGUUCACUCGAUGUUGGUGGAAUGAGCCCCAUCAGUGUCCAAGCUAACGCGAUAAGUGAACCGCCUGGGGAGUACGGCCGCAAGGUUAAA